rnacentral:rRNA from 1 species
UACAGAGGUCUCAAGCGUUGUUCGGAUUCAUUGGGCGUAAAGGGUGCGUAGGCGGCGCGGUAAGUCGGGUGUGAAAUCUCGGGGCUUAACUCCGAAACUGCAUUCGAUACUGCCGUGCUUGAGGACUGGAGAGGAGACUGGAAUUUACGGUGUAGCGGUGAAAUGCGUAGAUAUCGUAAGGAAGACCAGUGGCGAAGGCGGCUCUCUGGGACGGUACUGACGCUGAGACGCGAAAGCGUGGGGAGCGAACAGG